GACGAACGCUGGCGGCGUGCCUAAUACAUGCAAGUAGAACGCUGAAGAGAGGAGCUUGCUCUUCUUGGAUGAGUUGCGAACGGGUGAGUAACGCGUAGGUAACCUGCCUUGUAGCGGGGGAUAACUAUUGGAAACGAUAGCUAAUACCGCAUAACAAUGGAUGACACAUGUCAUUUAUUCGAAAGGGGCAAUUGCUCCACUACAAGAUGGACCUGCGUUGUAUUAGCUAGUAGGUGAGGUAAUGGCUCACCUAGGCGACGAUACAUAGCCGACCUGAGAGGGUGAUCGGCCACACUGGGACGGAGACACGGCCCAGACUCCUACGGGAGGCAGCAGUAGGGAAUCUUCGGAAAUGGGGGCAACCCUGACCGAGCAACGCCGCGUGAGUGAAGAAGGUUUUCGGAUCGUAAAGCUCUGUUGUAAGUCAAGAACGGGUGUGAGAGUGGAAAGUUCACACUGUGACGGUAGCUUACCAGAAAGGGACGGCUAACUACGUG
rnacentral:rRNA from 1 species